rnacentral:ncRNA from 1 species
UGAGUAACAAAAACAUUGGUGAGAAUCCAAUGCCCCGAAAACCUAAGGUUCCCUCCGCAAGGUUCGUCCACGGAGGGUGAGUCAGGGCCUAAGAUCAGGCCGAAAGGCGUAGUCGAUGGACAACAGGUCAAUAUUCCUGUACUACCCCUUCUCUUAUUGGUACGGAGGGACGGAGGAGGCUAGGUUAGCCGAAAGAUGGUUAUAGGUUUAAGGACACAAGGUGACCCUGCUUUUUCAGGGCAAGAAGGGGUAGAGAAAAUGCCUCGAGCCGAGGUCCGAGUACCAAGCGCUGCAGCGCUGAAGUAUGAGCCCCGUGGACUAGUCAUUGCUUCUCCGCGAGGCUCAUACCAGGCGCUACGGCGCUGAAGUAUGUAACCCAUACUCUCAGGAAAAGCUCGAACGACCUUCAACAAAAGGGUACAUGUACCCGAAACCUGUGUGAAUUCCAUUCUAAUUCUAAUAAUUAUAAUUUAGACAAAA